CGCCGAAUGCUGAUGCAGCCUUCGUGUCCAUACACGCUCAAAGUGUGAACACAAAUAUUGGUGGACUCAUAUAAUACGGUGGGCCGUGAAACUGUGCACACCGCUUAGCCAUCUUCCUGACAGAACUACGCGUUGACGACUCACCCGGAGGUCCUCAGCAUGCUGUUCGAGCGCAGGCACCUCGCAGGGCACGUGGACCGACAGCAGCAGCUCUGCCUCGUGGAACCACCGCCGCAGUUGGUCCAGACCCGUCUGGAACUGCUGGUUGGCCCUGAUGGACUCCCCGCUGGUCAGGAAGGCGUGGAUCUGGGGAGGAGACGGACGAAGGCUGAAGCUAGGACUAGUUGGUGGAUGAUACAUUCAAAUGGCUUGAUACGUCAUAAAUCAAGAGUGCAAAUUGAAACCAAGACCUCUAAAACGUGCAAAAUAAAAUUUACUGAUUUAUAA